rnacentral:rRNA from 1 species
UACGGAGGGUGCUAGCGUUGUUCGGAAUUACUGGGCGUAAAGCGCGCGUAGGCGGCCAGAUUAGUCCGGUGUGAAAGUCAGAGGCUCAACCUUUGAAUGCCGCUGGAAACUGUCUGGCUUGAGUCCGGAAGGGGCGAGUGGAAUUCCUGGUGUAGCGGUGAAAUGCGCAGAUAUCAGGAGGAACACCAAUGGCGAAGGCAGCUCGCUGGAACGGUACUGACGCUGAGGCGCGAAAGCGUGGGGAGCAAACAGG